rnacentral:rRNA from 1 species
CCCUUAGAUGUUCUGGGCUGCACGCGCGCUACACUGAAGCGUUCAACGAGUAUUCACCUUGCCCGGGAGGGUUGGGUAAUCUUUUUAAAACGCUUCGUGAUGGGGAUAGAUUAUUGCAAUUAUUAAUCUUCAACGAGGAAUUCCUAGUAAGCGCGAGUCAUCAGCUCGCGUUGAUUACGUCCCUGCCCUUUGUACACACCGCCCGUCGCUACUACCGAUUGAACGGUUUAGUGAGGGCCUCGGAUUGGUCUCGGCCCGCUCUUUACCGGGCGGCGCCGUUGGUCGAGAAGACGCUCGAACUUGAUCGUUUAGAGGAAGUAAAAGUCGUAACA